AGUUUGAUCAUGGCUCAGAUUGAACGCUGGCGGCAUGCGUAACACAUGCAAGUCGAACGGUGUCUGGUGCUUGCACCAGACAUAGUGGCGGACGGGUGAGUAAUGCGUAGGAAUCUGUCUUAGAGAGGGGGACAACCCGAGGAAACUUGGGCUAAAACCGCAUAUUCUCGAGAGAGGAAAGCAGGGGACCGGAAACGGCCUUGUGCUCUAAGGUGAGCCUACGUCGGAUUAGCUAGUUGGUAGGGUAAAAGCCUACCAAGGCGAUGAUCUGUGGCUGGUCUGAGAGGACGGACAGCCACACUGGGACUGAGACACGGCCCAGACUCCUACGGGAGGCAGCAGUGGGGAAUAUUGGACAAUGGGGGGAACCCUGAUCCAGCGAUGCCGCGUGUGUGAAGAAGGCCUGCGGGUUGUAAAGCACUUUCAGUGGGAAAGAGAAGCGUCUUGUGAAUAAUGGGACGUGGAGACGUUACUCACAGAAGAAGCACCGGCUAACUCUGUG
rnacentral:rRNA from 1 species